CUUCUGGAAUAAAAGGGAAUCAUGACAUGUCACACAUGUCAUGUGUCCUUAAGGGCUUAAAGAAAAACACUGCUUUCAGUAUUACAAAAAUUCGAUUAACAGGCCCACGUUUUGGGUUUUGCCCCAUCUCCUGGUUUAAAUGCGAUAAAUUGAAUUAUGUACAAUAAAAACCCCUCAACAUCAUAUUCCUAAAGAAAAGAUAGUCCUCUAAAGGGUGACUAGAAAGACUGGAACUUCUGAAUGUGAAAUCCCAUCAUGUUGAUUGCUGCAAGACAAUCUCCGUUAGCGAAAACUAGCAGUAAAUCUGUUCUUGCUCAGUAGAUGUAAGUUGGAUUAUACGCAUGAAGAUAAUUCUAUAAAACCUCUACCCUGCAAAGGCUAGGGUUUAAAUUGAAAACUGGAAUCAAGUUCAUUGUAAUAUAACCUAUCUCCCAACAAUCCUGAUCUCUGCAUCUAUGACAACCAGAAAAAAGUCCCCAAAAGAGCAGUGCGUCAUUAAAGAUGCGGCUAUCUUUAAAGUGCUUGAGACCCAAUAUUUCUUAAUAAAAUCUUGUUGUCAUAACUACCUGUUGGGUACAUAGCUUUUGUGAGUUAACCGAGAGCUAUGGUGUAAAUAACCCUGUAAAUGUAUUGUGGGCAUAUGAAGAGAUGGCAAAGUAAAACAACACAACCCCUCAAAACUUGUGAUGUGCACCAUGUCUCUAUUUAUACAAAGUGUAAAUAGUUUAUAAAUAUUUCUAUUUAUAGAAGGGGGACGUGCUUUGAUUUUAAUAAAGGGGAAUAUGUUUUGUAAAAUAUAUUAUCAGCUGACAUUUAGAUUACUGUAAAAUACAAAUAACUGAAAAAUAACAUGAUUUUCACUUUUUGUGCUUAAGGUUUUCCGAUUUCUGAAAAUACAUAUUAUACAGACUUA